rnacentral:rRNA from 1 species
GCUCGUGUCGUGAGAUGUUGGGUUAAGUCCCGCAACGAGCGCAACCCCUAUCUUAUGUUGCCAGCACUUCGGGUGGGAACUCAUGAGAGACUGCCGCAGACAAUGCGGAGGAAGGCGGGGAUGACGUCAAAUCAUCAUGCCCCUUAUGACCUGGGCUACACACGUACUACAAUGGGAGUUAAUAGACGGAAGCGAGAUCGCGAGAUGGAGCAAACCCGAGAAACACUCUCUCAGUUCGGAUCGUAGGCUGCAACUCGCCUACGUGAAGUCGGAAUCGCUAGUAAUCGCAGGUCAGCAUACUGCGGUGAAUACGUUCCCGGGCCUUGUACACACCGCCCGUCACACCACGAAAGUCGGAAGUGCCCAAAGCCGGUGGGGUAACCUUCGGGAGCCAGCCGUCUAAGGUAAAGUCGAUGAUUGGGGUGAAGUCGUAACAAGGUAGCCGUAUCGGAAGGUGCGGCUGGAUCACCUCCUUU